CCGACCUCAAAAGCAACCUCAAAUACAAGAUGAACACAUAUCCAGCUUUUAAUCUUAACCGAAGAAGCAAAUGACAAGAACCGAACCACACACGUUUGGCGGUAAGAAAAACAACCGCCUAUGCAGCGCCGGGUCCUGGAUCUCCACCGACAUUUUUUGUGCUACCUCAUCAGAGGCUGCUCACCAUGCAGCAUCGGCCACGCCAUGGCCAAGUCUUCUCUUUUCCUUCUUUUCCUUUUUCCUUUUAUCUAUGGCCAGCGAUGGUCGCGGUGCCUCGCCCUCAGCUGAGGAGGCUGGCCUCACCCAAACCCAGGCAAGGCGGCCUCACCUGCGACUGUGAUGGUCUAGGCAUCGCAACCUUCACCCACGGUCAGCACCACCAGUAUCGCUGCAAUACUCGGGCUGGUUGUUCUUACACAUGGUUAUGGUCACUAAGGCGUUGUUUUGGCCACUCUGCAGAAGAUGAUGGAUGGGGAAGAGAAAGAAAUUGAUUGGUCAAAAUAUUUAGCAAGUUGGAGAUAUAAAGCCUUUGUUCGAAAGUCCGUUUACUUCAAAUAAAGUCUACUUUGGAUCAUCUUUUGAAAAAAUGUGGGCUAUUUAGGCACUUAUUUAGAAUCCCUUGAAUCUACCAGUCACUUGAAGUCACUUUAGUGCACAGGGAUUUAGCAGUUACUUGUCGCACAUGUUCAUUUUCCGACCAUUUUGCGGGUUUCUUGAUUCCUAUUCGAAGCACUGUCCUUUCUUAGAUAUGACAAACUUAAAGAGCAGCCCACGAAGUAAUACCUGAUCGAUCAUGAAAACUCGAUCAAUCGUAAAAAUCGUCGAUACGGGUCCUUAAGCCAUCAUGGCCACGAGACUGGAUCCUUGGAUCUUAAGCACUCGGCAACCCUGUUACAAUGAAAGCCGCUCGAAA
rnacentral:lncRNA from 1 species